rnacentral:rRNA from 1 species
CAUGCAAGUCGAGCGGAAGGCCCCUUCGGGGGUACUCGAGCGGCGAACGGGUGAGUAACACGUGAGCAACCUGCCCCUGACUCUGGGAUAAGCCCGGGAAACUGGGUCUAAUACCGGAUGUGACCAGCCUCCGCAUGGAGUGCUGGUGGAAAGUUUUUCGGUUGGGGAUGGGCUCGCGGCCUAUCAGCUUGUUGGUGGGGUGAUGGCCUACCAAGGCGACGACGGGUAACCGGCCUGAGAGGGCGACCGGUCACACUGGGACUGAAACACGGCCCAGACUCCUACGGGAGGCAGCAGUGGGGAAUAUUGCGCAAUGGGCGGAAGCCUGACGCAGCGACGCCGCGUGAGGGAUGACGGCCUUCGGGUUGUAAACCUCUUUCAGCAGGGACGAAGCUAACGUGACGGUACCUGCAGAAGAAGCGCCGGCUAACUACGUGCCAGCAGCCCGGGUAAUUCCA